rnacentral:sRNA from 1 species
GUAAGAGAAUUCCAAGCCCCGGGAGAAGGCGUUCCGGGCCUCAACUUCGGCGUCGUGAGAUUCUUAUCCAGACCAGCUCCUCCCAAACCUCUCCAGAAGAAGCCAUGGGAACCCCACGUAUCCAGCAUUUGCUGAUCCUCCUGGUCCUAGGAAUCUCCCUCCUGACCUCGGGCCUAGAGCUGUAUUGUCAAAAGGGUCUGUCCAUGACUGUGGAAGCAGAUCCAGCCAAUAUGUUUAACUGGACCACAGAGGAAGUGGAGAUUUGUGACAAAGGGGCACUUUGCCAGGAAACCAUACUAAUAAUUAAAGCAGGGACUGAGACAGCCAUUUUGGCCACGAAGGGCUGCAUCCCGGAAGGGGAGGAGGCCAUAACAAUUAUCCAGCACUCUUCAUCUCCCGGCCUGAUCGUGACCUCCUACAGUAACUACUGUGAGGAUUCCUUCUGUAAUGACAAAGACAGCCUGUCUCAGCUUUGGGAGUUCAGUGAGACCACAGCUUCCACCAUGUCAACAACCCUCCAUUGUCCAACCUGUGUGGCUUUGGGGACCUGUUUCAGUGCUCCUUCUCUUCCCUGUCCAAAUGGUACAACUCGAUGCUAUCAAGGAAAACUUGAGAUCACUGGAGGUGGCAUUGAGUCGUCUGUGGAGGUCAAAGGCUGUACAACCACGAUUGGCUGCAGGCUGAUGUCUGGAAUCUUAGCAGUAGGACCCAUGUUUGUGAGGGAAGUGUGCCCACAUCAGCUGCUCACUCAACCUCGAAAGACUGAAAAUGGGGCCAUCUGUCUUCCCAUUCCUGUUUGGGGGUUACAGCUACUGCUGCCAUUGCUGCUGCCAUCAUUUAUUCACUUUUCCUAAGAGGGCACUUCUGGGCCUGGGUCUGAGGAUGUCUUUUUUGACUGGGAGCCUUCUUACUGUUGAGGUUCAACAAGUUGAGGAGUAGGUGGGAAUUUGAGGGAGAAUAGAGAGAUACUAUGAACGUAUCUGACAUUUUUAAUACAAUUUCUGCUGUAAUUUUUGUAUGCAGUAGGCGUUACUAAUAAACAUUUCUGCUGUGA